UUGCAAAUUCCCGCCUAUCCUCGAUGCUUAAAGGCGUCGUCAAGAUGCUUCGUUGCUUUUAGGCGUCGUUCAGGACACGUGCAGUGCAUGUGUUAUAUUAAAUAGCGCAUCACCUUAGGAAUGUUGUAUAAGAAGCAAAACCGCCUCUCUAACUUCCCACUUCAGUACUCCACGCACACUAACCCUAAUUCUUCACAAUUCAAUCUCAGUCUCAAAUCUAGCAUAAUUCACUCUUCAGUUCGUGCGCCCAGCAGUCUUAAAGCAAUUGCGAAGAUUUUCGCGAAAUUGAAAUAUUUGACAACGAAUUUCUAGAAAUUUCAAUACAAGUCGUCAGCAGAUUACAUUGGUCGUCGAGGAACUAUGGGGUUAUCUGACACUCUACCUCAGUGGAUGGCUUUUAAUAGCAUUUUCUAAGGGUGCUUGGUCUCUUGAUAUUGGUAGACUAGCUGUUGGUUGUGCUAUGGGGAAUACUGUUUAUGUGGU